rnacentral:lncRNA from 1 species
UGGGAUUGAAAGAAGAGUUGUGAUAAGGGUGUGGGAAGGUAUUGGGCUACACGAAUAGAAAAGCUAAAUGAGGAAGAAAACUUUCCUCUUAUGCAAACGUGAGAGGGUUCUCUCUCAGUCAUUUUCUUUACUUUUUCAUUUUCAUUUUGGUAAUAAUGAAACAAGAGACGUGUGCGGCAGCUGAGUUUCACAAAUGGCCAAUUAGUUAACUUAUAAAGUAC